rnacentral:rRNA from 1 species
CCUACGGGAGGCAGCAGUGAGGAAUAUUGGUCAAUGGGCGUAAGCCUGAACCAGCCAAGUCGCGUGAGGGAUGAAGGUUCUAUGGAUUGUAAACCUCUUUUAUAAGGGAAUAAAGUGUGGCACGUGUCCCGUUUUGUAUGUACCUUAUGAAUAAGGAUCGGCUAACUCCGUGCCAGCAGCCGCGGUAAUACGGAGGGUCCGAGCGUUAUCCGGAUUUAUUGGGUUUAAAGGGUGCGUAGGCGGCCUUUUAAGUCAGGGGUGAAAGGUUGUGGCUCAACCGUAGAAUUGCCGUUGAAACUGGGAGGCUUGAGUAUGUUUGAGGCAGGCGGAAUGCGUGGUGUAGCGGUGAAAUGCUUAGAUAUCACGCAGAACCCCGAUUGCGAAGGCAGCCUGCCAAGCCAUGACUGACGCUGAUGCACGAAAGCGUGGGGAUCAAACAGGAUUAGAUACCCCUGUAGUC